rnacentral:rRNA from 1 species
GAUUGACCUCGGAUCAGGUAGGGAUACCCGCUGAACUUAAGCAUAUCAAUAAGCGGAGGAAAAGAAACCAACAGGGAUUGCCUCAGUAACGGCGAGUGAAGCGGCAACAGCUCAAAUUUGAAAUCUGGCUCCUCCGGGGUCCGAGUUGUAAUUUGUAGAGGAUGUUUCGGGUGCGGCGCCGGUCGAAGUCCCUUGGAACAGGGUGUCACAGAGGGUGAGAAUCCCGUACGUGGCCGGUGACCAAGCCCAUGUGAAACUCCUUCGACGAGUCGAGUUGUUUGGGAAUGCAGCUCAAAAUGGGUGGUAAAUUUCAUCUAAAGCUAAAUACCGGCCAGAGACCGAUAGCGCACAAGUAGAGUGAUCGAAAGAUGAAAAGCACUUUGGAAAGAGAGUUAAAAAGUACGUGAAAUUGUUGAAAGGGAAGCGCUUGCGACCAGACCUGCCCGUGGGUGCUCAGCGGGGGUUUGCCCCCGUGCACUCGCCCACGAUCAGGCCAGCAUCAGUUCUGGCGACCGGAUAAAGGCCCGAGGAAUGUAGCUCCCCUCGGGGAGUGUUAUAGCCUCGGGCGGCAUACGGCCAGCUGGGACUGAGGACCGCGCUUCGGCAAGGAUGCUGGCGUAAUGGUUGCAAGCGACCCGUCUUGAAACACGGACCAAGGAGUCUAACAUCUAUGCGAGUGUUUGGGUGUCAAACCCAUGCGCGCAAUGAAAGUGAACGGAGGUCAGAGCCCUUUAGGGUGCAUGAUCGACCGAUCCUGAAGUUUACGGAUGGAUUUGAGUAUGAGCAUAGCUGUUGGGACCCGAAAGAUGGUGAACUAUGCCUGAAUAGGGUGAAGCCAGAGGAAACUCUGGUGGAGGCUCGCAGCGGUUCUGACGUGCAAAUCGAUCGUCAAAUUUGGGUAUAGGGGCGAAAGACUAAUCGAACCAUGAUCAUACUAGGUGGUUAAGCAGGGUGAAGCGGUACUCUCAGCCUCUCGAGGCGACAAUGCUAGGUGCAUAGACCCCGUGAAAGGGAUAUGCAGCGGGGGCGAGAGCCCCCGUCCACAGACCAAAUAGCAUUGGCUGGCGGGUGACCGCCGGUUGUGAUAUGGCCGAGUCCCCCCUCCGCGCGGAGGGGGGCACCAACGCUAGUAGCUGGUUCCUGCCGAAGUUUCCCUCAGGAUAGCAGUAACGAAUUCAGUUUUAUGAGGUAAAGCGAAUGAUUAGGAGCCUAGGGGAUGUAACAUCCUUUACUCAUUCUCAAACUUUAAAUAUGUAAGAAGUCCUUGUUACUUAAUUGAACGUGGACAUUUGAAUGUACCG